UGUGCUUGUGCCAGGCUGCUGCAGUAUGACCUGCUUGGUGAGUGCUUUGGAAAGCUGCUGCCUUGGCUCCCACGUGUGGUUCAUCUCCCAGCAAAGUAAAUUCUCCACCAUGUCACAUCACAUGAUGGCCAGGCAGCUUUGAAGCCCCGGCUCUCCAAGCGGCUUCCAGCGGACCAUGACGGGGAUCAAGCGCUCCGGUGUGAUUCCCCGUUCCAGCCACGCCGAGGAAGGAACGAAUCCAGUGGGCAGCAGAGCCGGAGGGGCCCGAGGCGGGGUGAGUCCCCCCAGAGGGGUCCGAGGCUGGGGUGAGUCCCCCCAGGGGCUGCGGGCACCGGGAGAAGCGGCCUCGGCCCCGCAGGACCCAGCGAGGCCCGGGCGAUGCUUUGGGGAGGCUUUGCCCCGGUUGUGCUCCGGUUCCAGCCCAGGAGCCGCGGGGCUCCCGCAGGGUUCGUGCUGGGUUUGUCUCCUGCUCUCGCCGCACCCUUGUUUGCUUUAAAUCACUUCAAAUGCGGAGGCUGUCAGACAAGACAAUUAACAUGGGGAAGGGGGAAAGUAUUACCAUCCAUUAUUUGCCAUAACAUGAAUUUAAGCCGGGAAGUCAAAUGAUAAAAUAUGUGGUGAAAAGUGUUGGUGGUGGGAGUGCCUAAAUGAGUAAUAGCCCUGGGCUUCUGAGCCUUGAACUUAACGUGCUAAGUAAAUCCCCGAGGUCAAAAAGUAUGAAAAUUGUUGCAGCUUGGGGAGAU
rnacentral:lncRNA from 1 species